GAAAAGAACCUAUAAAAGUAAUUCAAAAAAAAUCGAAUUGCAUAAUAGAACAAUUUCGGAAAAUCAUAAAAAUAAAUGUCUUAAUUACUAAAAUCACAGAAAAAAAAACAAAAUAGAAAAAUAGCAACAAGUCUUGAUUUUUUUCAAGUAACACAUUUUGCGCAUAUCAUGCACUGAUACAUAUUAAUUUAGACCAAUAAGUGAUCUUUCGAUAAAAUUUAUUUUUAUUAGGUAUUAUUAGACAGUUAUAUAGGGUGUAACGAAAAGAUGGGGACAACAGGGAACCAGAGAUUUCUCAGCUCAAUACUUACCUCCAUGGCCUCCUUGAUGUAUGGAGACAACUUCGUUGUUCAGGCCUGGCGCAUCGUUAAGUUCGGCUGAUUCUCCACUGGCGCUGCAUUUAGCGGACUGACGUUUAUUUGACAAAUACCAUUUUUGAGGUUAAAGACUAAUAAAUUUGAAAGAUGUAAGUGUGCAUUCGUGAAAUACGUUGAAAAUGUGAAGAUAAUUCUAAAGUUAUGCCCUGAAUGAACGUUUGGAUAGUCUUCAGAAGAUAUACAAAUUAUUUUAAGGUGAAUUGAUUGUUCAUCGUUUAUAAGUAUUUUAAGCAUAACCUACGGCACUAGUACGCAGACACAAAUGCAGAGAAAACGAUGUUUCAAAGAACCUUCCAUUUAUUAUGCAUACUCUAUGGUUUUACCAAUGGUUAAGGUUGAAUGCGUUACAAAUCUGUGAUUUUUAAGACAUGGCUUAAGUUUUCUGAAAGGUAUUUGCAACCUUUUAAUCAGCAGAUAUUUGCAAUACAUUGUUUAGGCAAAUGAAACUAUUUUGCACACACGUAUUUUCAAAACCUACUAUUGUUAAUUUAGUUUUAGUAAAACGUGCAAAGAAAGUCGUUUUCUUCAAAUGAAAUGGUUUAAAAAAGCUCGAUCCAGCGUUCUUCUGCUGCGUUACUCUCUGCUGGAGUGUCUCUGAACCGUCCGUUCCAAAGUCCCUGUCUGGACCUCUCACCUCUGCUCACUCUCAAGCACCGCUCGUGGAUCACCAAACUCCCGAAAAAAAUCUACUACUUUAUAAAUUUUUUUGAGUUUUUGUAUUUAGAAAUUAUCAAUUACAUUGUGGGCUCUUUUUCA